AUUGAGGUGCCGGGUUGUGUACCUGGAAAAGGAGCAGAGGGGCAGCGAGGGGCUUCGGGGCACAGCAGGGGCUGCCUUGGCCUCCUCGAGCUGUUAAGCCUCCCCCCACAUCGGUGGAUGUGGUGGAGAAGCUGCCAGACAAUAGGACGGUCAGAGCACGGCCCCUGGCGUGUGUCCGGGGCUCUGCUACUGACUCACUGAGUAGCCUUGGGUGAGUUCCUUAAGGCCUCGUUUUCGGAGCUGCUGGGCCCGCACCUUUGCAGCGGCAGCAGGCGCUCAGUGGCUCUGAAGACAGGGCCGCUUGCCUCCCUGUGACACCCUUUUACUGGCCCCAUGGUACAGAGAGGGGCAAAAGCAUCUUGAAAGAGUGUCAAGGGGAGGCUUUUGUAUCGCAGGAAGCGCAUGUGAUGGCUGAAGGGGCUGGUCCACACUAACUAAGGCUGCUCUGGGCAUCCAUCCUGCACUCCAUUUCAAACCAGGGCCAUUUCCCCUCGGAUCAUUUCCGCUGACCGAACUUUGAUUCCCUUUCAGCAGGAAGCUCCUGCACUUUGAAGUCUCCUGAUGCACGCAGGGAGGUCGAGGCACAAGCAGGAAACCCAGCUGACAAGGUGCCUAGCUCCCUGAGAAACUCCCCAGCUGGCUGUGGACCUCUCAGCCCACGUGUGAGUGCAGGAGCUGACGUCCUUGGACCCAGCGUGGGACUUCCACCUUCUCACAGCUCCGGCCAGUGGCAAUAUUCGAAUGCAUUUCCCUUGGGAAGAGGCCUGAGACCAAGCAAUGAGCUGCACAGAGACCCUGAAGAGCCAUCAGCUGGCCCCUGCUCCUUGCUCACUACCUGAGCCAGCUGUGAGGGGGAGGAGGAAUCUCCAGGCAGGGAAGCAGAACAGGUUGCCCAUGGCCAGCAGACCUGAGCGAGAGAAACACAACAGAAUGCAGCAGCGCAAGCAGGAGAGGACCAGCACGACCCCGCGCCCACCCCUGCCCUUGCAGGCUCCUCGCACCUGCCUCAUACCCCCUGCCUGGCCCACCCGCUGGCGGACUUACCUGUG